UCAAGUUCCAGUGAUCGCCGCAGAGGGCGAAAAAAUCAACCGCGGCGAGUUCCAUCGAUAUGCGCGGAGAGUGGAGCUACUAACUCCUCUUUUAGCGGUCGGAUAAGUUAGUUCGCAUUUUCCGUGUUAGGGGCGCUCAACGCAGCCAAAAAUUUUAUUUCAGAAUGUAUCAGAAGAUUGUUAAAAUCUUAGUUACCGUGUCAUUUUGCAUACAGCUAGUAGGGACCAGUUUUUGUGUUACUUCUAGAGUUAAUACAAGAGCUUGAUUGUUUGAGGACAAGUAUUGAGAUUACAUUGACGCUCGAAAAGCAGCAGCCCAUUGGCAUCGAUUGCGCUUCGGUCGGUUAUUUCAUUCAAAUUGUACCGCGGUCGUUUUCUUUGAUCGGCGUUACGCAGCUCCGUUUUAAAUCAGUUUUGAUAUAGCAAUGCGAGUUUGUGCGCCAAAUUUUACAUGCUGCUGCCACAAAGCGAACGUGUCUAAAGCCUGUGAAUCACGUCAGCUGCGGCGCUUCACCGGCUGCCAGCGUGAAAAUUCAAUGCCAGCAAGGAGCUUGGAGACUACCUACGAAAACGGAAUAACCAUGCACCAUGUGGGUGUGCGCACCGCCUCCAAGAAACUGCUCAUAUCAGCACCCGCUCGGAUGCUUUAUCUCUGAACCUACCUCAAGUCAGCAGAGGAUGUUCCACUACAGAAAGUAAAUUCGUCGUCCCAAAUCCUCACAAGGAAACUGGACAAAAGAGAGAUCAUUGGUUUCCAAGCUACCCACACCAAGUCGUAAGAAGCUCAAGAGUCGCCUAUCCACCACCAAAGUUUACCAGGCGGACAAAUGCAAGCCUUAUACUGAAAAGCAGUGAUAGUGUACGGCAUGUUGAAGCAGUACGAA